UGGGGAAUUUUGGACAAUGGGGGCAACCCUGAUCCAGCAAUGCCGCGUGUGUGAAGAAGGCCUUCGGGUUGUAAAGCACUUUUGUCCGGGGUGAAACGGUAUGGGUUAAUAACCUGUGCUAAUGACAGUACCGGAAGAAUAAGCACCGGCUAACUACGUGCCAGCAGCCGCGGUAAUACGUAGGGUGCGAGCGUUAAUCGGAAUUACUGGGCGUAAAGCGUGCGCAGGCGGUUUUGUAAGACAGGCGUGAAAUCCCCGGGCUUAACCUGGGAAUUGCGUUUGUGACUGCAAGGCUAGAGUGUUUCAGAGGGGGGUAGAAUUCCACGUGUAGCAGUGAAAUGCGUAGAGAUGUGGAGGAAUACCGAUGGCGAAGGCAGCCCCCUGGGACAGCACUGACGCUCAUGCACGAAAGCGUGGGGAGCAAACAGG
rnacentral:rRNA from 1 species